UACGUAGGUGGCAAGCGUUGUCCGGAAUUAUUGGGCGUAAAGCGCGCGCAGGCGGCUUCUUAAGUCUGAUGUGAAAGCCCACGGCUCAACCGUGGAGGGUCAUUGGAAACUGGGGAGCUUGAGUGCAGAAGAGGAGAGUGGAAUUCCAUGUGUAGCGGUGAAAUGCGUAGAUAUAUGGAGGAACACCAGUGGCGAAGGCGGCUCUCUGGUCUGUAACUGACGCUGAGGCGCGAAAGCGGGGGGAGCAAACAGG
rnacentral:rRNA from 1 species